rnacentral:piRNA from 1 species
UGAGAGGAGCCAUUCCCAUUGCCUGAACC